AUGUUAAGGAAAAAGUUAGAGGAGGAACUUUCAAAGAUUAAUAAAGAGGAGGAGAUAAUGUGGUUACAGAGAUCGAAAGAGAACGAACUAUUAGAGGGUGACGCUUUAACUUCUUAUUUUAUAUCUAAGGCUAGUAGUAGAAAACGGAAAAACAGAAUUACCUCUAUUAAAACUGCUCCUAAUGAUGUGAUCCAGGGGGACAAAGAUUUAUUGCCUUUUGUCACUUCAUUUUACAAAAACCUAUUUGGUCCUGCUGUAGGUAUGAAUAAUAUUUCCCUUGAUAUUAAUUUACCUGUGGUUUUGAGUGAUGCCGAUAGAAAAAAUUUGGAUAGGAAGUUUACUUUAGAGAUUAAGAUUGUUGUUUUUGAUAUGAAAUCUAACAAAGCACCUGGACCUGACAGAUUUCCUAUAGAAUUUUAUCACAAGUGCUGGCACAUAAUUGGAGUGGACAUUUUGGAGCUUUUCAGUGAUUUUUAUGAAGGAAAGUUAGAUUUAGCUAGAUUUAAUUAUGGUGUCCUUGCGUUAAUUCCAAAAUUGCUGAUGCUCAAACUUUACAACAAUAUAGACCAAUCUGUUUGUUGA
rnacentral:rRNA from 1 species